AGAAGGGUUUUAGUCGGUAGGUCGGAGGACUUCUUCCUCGGGAAUCCGACACUACCCAGUCGUACGGACGGCUGGGUGUCUUUUGAAGAUUUCCCUUCU
rfam:Agrilus planipennis Contig5768, whole genome shotgun sequence.